AAUGAGGAACUGGAGAAACAGAGGUCACUAGGAACACAAGAACACAAAGUCUGGGGAAAUCAAACCGUGGCAGUCAAGUUCACCGCCCUCUAAAACAGUCAGCUACUUUACUUCUCAAAAAUCAGAGUAAAAAUCUUCAGACUAUUUAAAUACAUAUACUUGCUUCUUGGAACUACCAAAUCAUGAAGAGGAUUUCUGAAAGCCAUCAUCCCUGAACAAGGCCUACAGGAUCUUUUUGCUUCAUAAAAUGCUAUUCGAUUUAAGAAAUAUUGCAAUAUUUCUUUUGACUGCUUUGUAUAAUGCUUUCUAAUAUACAAGUCCAAGCAAAAAAAAAAAAGGGGGGGGGGGAAUACUUUAUUUUUAUUAGUGUUACUCAGACGAACCUCCAUUGCAUUUGGUUUACUGCUGCACAUUUUAGAAGAAAACUAUUCGGCCAUUUAAGGAAAUAUGAAGCUUACCAAUGAGAGUUGCCAAAGAGCAAUGAGGUACUGUUGGUGUAAACCUGAUAAUAACGAGAUAUUCAUCUUCCCCUAUCUCGUGCACUUCAACACAACUUUCCGUUACCACUUCCAGUUCUUCUAAAGUGUUAGGCUUCUCUGGAUCCCGGAUAGUUCGAAUUAUAUCUAAAGCAGAAGGACAUACACCAGAAAUGAAAUACCUUUUACAAAUUAGAUGAUUAGAGAAAAAGUCAUAGGUUUUUAACAAGUUGUUCUUCCCAGCCUAAUUUUUUCAACUCCUCUCCAGGAGAGGCCUGGUAACUGAAACAUCUUGCUGACUCAGUUCACCCAAGAGAAGCACAAACCAAAGCACCUGUAUCUUACCAUGUCUGCUCCUCUCCAUACAGUGCAAACAUUUCUACAGUUCAUGGUCAAAGAACAUAGCAUUUUACUACCUACAAAUGGAGUCCAUCAGCUCUGCACUGUUUUGACAGGAAAAACACAGGCCUUACCCACAACACAGUAUGAAUUUAGUUUAUAGUAUUAUCUUAUUACAUCAAACUCUUUACACAGGGCAAUGUGAUUGUUGAUACCUCUCUCUUACUGAAAUUGGUAUGCUUAGCACUUCACAGAAGAGUAAGAAAAUAAGAUCCUUGACUUGAGGAACUUCUGAUAUAUGGGUCAAAUUUUGCAGGAUUCUAAGCCACUCUUACUCCCAAAAAGGUCAAUAGAAGUUGGAGAGACUAAGCAUUUUCCAGGAUGAAGUGCUUACAGUGUAGAUUCAAAACUAUUACAAAUGCUAAAGGAUAAUUCACAACUCAAAAAAGAGGUAUCCUCCUGUUCAUAAGUUUAGAUCAUCCGAUCACUGGACAGAAACAAAUCUAUACGAUUUCUGUGAACAAAUAUUUACGGUGAGGAAACCAUGAACAAAUGACAGGAUAAAAUUUGUUUGUAUGAUCUGUCAACAGUUGCAAAUAAAGAAUACAUUUGUAAAAAUCA